rnacentral:rRNA from 1 species
AUUGAACGAUGGCGGCAGGACUAACACAUGCAAGUCGAGCGAGAGGCGGCCGGGUGAGUAAUGUAUGGGGACUGCCCGAUAGAGAGGGGUAACUACUGGAAACGGUUGCUAAUACCGCAUAAUGUCGGAUCAACCAGAUGGGAUUAGCUAGUAGGUCAGGUAAUGGCUUACCUAGGCGACGAUCCCUAGAUGGUAUGAGAGGAUGAUCAGCCACACUGGGACUGAGACACGGCCCAGCCUCCUACGGAGGCAGCAGUGGGGAAUAUUGCACAAUGGGCGCAAGCCUGAUGCAGCCAUACCGCGUGUAUGAAGAAGGCCCUAGGGUUGUAAAGUACUUUCAGUCGGGAGGCGUUACCGACAGAAGAAGCACCGGCUAACUCCGUGCCAGCAGCCGCGGUAAUAC